rnacentral:lncRNA from 1 species
GGAAACUCCAACACUCUAUUGCCUUCUUUGUGAAGAGCAAAUUCUCCUCACUAAAGGUCAUUCAUAAUUCUGUGCCAUUUUCCAAGUAGAGCUUUACUUCAUACUUUUUCCCAUUUCACAUACUCUGCUUCUGUCAGGCUGGUAACUCCUUUUCAUCCCCCAAACACUCUGCUUCGGGCCAAGUCCAUGCUUUCUAAAUAUAAUCAUCUUCUUCAGAAUGGUCCCUCUCCUUCCCUGCACCUCGCCAGCCGUGAACCUAUUGUCUAAAGCCAAAACGGAACCCCACUUAGCUCUACAAGUUCUGACACACCCUGGUGUUCUUUCCUAAAUUCCGACAGCAUUUAUAACCAGAAUCUCAUGGCUUGCUCCUCAUUUUCUCAUGAAAGAAGCACUGGAAUCAAAUUCAGAUAACCUGCAGGCUUGCUCACUGUUGAACCAGAAAGCCCCAGAAGCUUCUUGGAGGCCAGGAGAAGCCAACAAUCCAUGCCUGUAGGAACACAGUGAUGCCAGAAGCAUGAAGUUGUCUGACUGUUUCCAUUUCACUCCUUGGGAAGUUGUAACCUGGAACGCCAUGGGAAAGCAGUGCAGGACCGCCUGCCAAUGCCCAAAGCUGGUUCUGGAAGCCCGAGAUCCACACUAGACUGUGAGACACACUGGAACUGGGUCCAGAUGAUUCAGUCUGGGCUAAGGCACGCAUGGAAUAAAGCAGAAGUCCGCUCUCCAGAGUAUGGUUUCUGAGGGAAAUAAAUACAAGUAAAUAUAGCAUGAACUCCUUAUUACCAAAUUCAGACUGAAACUGAAGAAAGCGGGGAAAACCACAAGACCAUUCAGGUAUGACCUAAAUCAAAUGCCUUAUGAUUAUACAGUGGAAGUGAGAAAUAAAUUUAAGGGCCUAGAUCUGAUAGAUAGAGUGCCUGAUGAACUAUGGAAUGAGGUUCGUGACAUUGCACAGGAG